GUCUAUGGCCAUGCCACCCUGAACGUGCCCGAUCUCGUCUGAUCUCGGAAGCUAAGCAGGGUCGGGCCUGGUUAGUACUUAGAUGGGAGACCACCUAGGAAGACCAGGUGCUGUGGGCA
rnacentral:rRNA from 1 species